AAGCGUCCGCAGACGGUUUGAUACGUCGUACGUCAAAUCCUGAAGCUCAACUUCAGGGCUGCGUGCGAAACGGUUUUUCUAGAGGUCGGAAGAGGCAAGCGGAAUUACCGGUGUAGCGGUAAAAUGCGUUAAUAUCGGUAAGAACACCAAAAGCGAAGGCAGCUUGCUGGGACGAUCCUGACGUUAAGGGACGAAAGCGUGGGGAGCGAAUGGGAUUAGAUACCCCAGUAGUCCACGCUGUAAACGAUGGGUACUAAGCAUUGGGAGUAUCGACCCUCUCAGUGCUGUCUAAUUAAGCUAACGCCUUAAGUACCCCGCCUGGGAAGUACGGUCGCAAGACUAAAACUCAAAGGAAUUGACGGGAACCCGCACAAGUAGUGGAGCAUGUGGUUUAAUUCGACGACAAGCGAGGAACCUUACCAGGGCUUGACAUGUCUGGAAUCUCCCAGAAACGGGAGAGUGCCGCAAGGAGCCAGAACACAGGUGUUGCAUGGUUGUCGUCAGCUCGUGUCGUGAGAUGUUGGGUUAAGUCCUCUAACGAGCGCAACCCUCGUCCUCUGUUACAUAUUCAGAGGAUACUGCCUGGGUUUAACCAGGAGGAAGGUGGGGAUGACGUCAAAUCAGCAUGGCCCUUACGCCCUGGGCUACACACGUGCUACAAUGGCGCGGACAAUGGGUUGCAAAGCAGUAAUGCGAAGCUAAUCCCAUCAAAACGCGCCCCAGUUCGGAUUGAGGUCUGCAAUUCGACCUCAUGAAGCCGGAAUUACUAGUAAACGCCAAUCAGCCAUGUGGCGUUGAAUACGUUCUCGGGUUU
rnacentral:rRNA from 1 species